rnacentral:rRNA from 1 species
AACGAACGCUGGCGGCAGGCCUAACACAUGCAGGUCGAGCGAAGUCUUCGGACUUAGCGGCGGACGGGUGAGUAACGCGUGGGAAUAUGCCCUUCUCUACGGAAUAGCCUCGGGAAACUGGGAGUAAUACCGUAUACGCCCUUUGGGGGAAAGAUUUAUCGGAGAAGGAUUAGCCCGCGUUGGAUUAGGUAGUUGGUGGGGUAAUGGCCUACCAAGCCGACGAUCCAUAGCUGGUUUGAGAGGAUGAUCAGCCACACUGGGACUGAGACACGGCCCAGACUCCUACGGGAGGCAGCAGUGGGGAAUCUUAGACAAUGGGCGCAAGCCUGAUCUAGCCAUGCCGCGUGAUUGAUGAAGGCCUUAGGGUUGUAAAGAUCUUUCAGCUGGGAAGAUAAUGACGGUACCAGCAGAAGAAGCCCCGGCUAACUCCGUGCCAGCCGCCGCGGUAA